rnacentral:lncRNA from 1 species
AACUAUCAGAUGGCGCCUGCCCUCUCUCCCUCAAAUAAAAUAACAGUAGCCCUCACCUUUAAUUCCCUUCAUAAGCUCCCUUUUCAUUCUCCUUUACCACUCCCUAAAUGCAAAGAAUGGAAGCUGGUGAAACAGACCCUCCCUCCUCUUAUUCUCACGCAUAACCAUGCAGCACACCUCUAUUCAUUCCCCUCCUAAUAACUCCAUUUAGUCACACUUCAUUUGCAUGCCUCCAUGCAGCAAAGGGCAGCCAUAUAUUCCCCUCUUUCUCUUUCUCACGCACACCAUCAGCAGGGCACAUCCUCCUAUUCUCCUCUCCCCCACGCCACCACCAGAGGAGGCUCAUCUCCUCCCCUCCAUCAGAUGGGUGCCCCUCCUCCUCUCCUUUCCCCAUGGAGGCGGUUCCAACUCCCUCUCCUUCCCCUUCCCUCUCAGUGCAACAAUUUGGUAUUGCCACUACACAUCGAAACUCAUCACUGGAAUUCCAGUGCAUCAUGCCAUGGUAAGGAGUUUCUCCUUCUCUGUUCUUCAUCAUGAAGCUCUUAUUCACUGUCCCCUCUCCGUUGUGACUCCCCAGGGCUACAUAGCAGAGCUGCAGCACUUCAUGGAUGCCACCCCAGCAUGCCUUGUUGUUUUCCCGAACCAGCAGCCCC